rnacentral:tRNA from 1 species
GGAGAGGUAGCGAAGCGGCCGUAACGCGCUCGACUCGAAAUCGAGUUGUCCCAGUGAUGGGACACGUGGGUUCGAAUCCCACCCUCUCCGCCA